CAGCAGUAGCCACGGUAAUACGGAGGAUCCAAGCGUUAUCCGGAAUCAUUGGGUUUAAAGGGUCCGUAGGCGGUCUUGUAAGUCAGUGGUGAAAGCCCAUCGCUCAACGGUGGAACGGCCAUUGAUACUGCAGGACUUGAAUUAUUGGGAAGUAACUAGAAUAUGUAGUGUAGCGGUGAAAUGCUUAGAGAUUACAUGGAAUACCAAUUGCGAAGGCAGGUUACUACCAAUUGAUUGACGCUGAUGGACGAAAGCGUGGGUAGCGAACAGGAUUAGAUACCCGUGUAGUCCCUGUCUCUUAUAA
rnacentral:rRNA from 1 species